CCUACGGGAGGCUGCAGUGAGGAAUAUUGGUCAAUGGGCUUACGCCUGAACCAGCCAAGUCGCGUGAGGGAAGACUGCCCUAUGGGUUGUAAACUUCUUUUGUCAGGGAGCAACGCCGGCUACGUGUAGCCGGACUGAGAGUACCUGAAGAAAAAGCAUCGGCUAACCCCGUGCAAGCAGCCGCGGUAUUACGGAGGAUGGGACGGUUAUCCGGUUUUAUGGGGUUUAAAGGGUGCGUGGGCGGAAUGCCAAGUCAGCGGUAAAAUCGCGGGGCUCAACCUCGCUCCGCCGUUGAAACUGGCGUUCUUGAGUGGGCGGGAAGUAUGCGGAAUGCGUGGUGUAGCGGUGAAAUGCUUAGAUAUCACGAAGAACUCCGAUUGCGAAGGCAGCAUACCGGCGCCCAACUGACGCUGAAGCACGAAGGCGUGGGUAUCGAACAGGAUUAGAUACCCUAGUAGUC
rnacentral:rRNA from 1 species